UUCCUGGUAGCUCAGCUGGUAAAGAAUCUGUCUGCAGUGCAGGAAACCCUGGUUCAAUUCCUGGGUCAGGGAG
rfam:Ovis aries breed Texel chromosome 1, whole genome shotgun sequence.